rnacentral:ncRNA from 2 species
ACAUGUAUGCUCGUCCUCGCUGUCGCCGCAGGGGAAUCCGGUGGGAAUCCGGAACUGUCCCGCAACGGUGUGGGAGCGCGCUCGACCGGCCGGACACCGGCUUUGGCGUGCGCUCGUGUAGUCCGAGGACCUGCCGAUGGUACGUCCGCACC